rnacentral:misc_RNA from 1 species
GAUGAAGAACGUAGCGAAAUGCGAUACUUGGUGUGAAUUGCAGAAUCCCGUGAACCAUCGAGUCUUUGAACGCAAGUUGCGCCCGAAGCCAUUUGGUUGAGGGCACGUCUGCCUGGGCGUCACAUAUCGUUGCCCGAUGCCUAUUGCACUGUGAUAGGAAAUUCUAGGGCGAAAGAUGGCUUCCCGUGAGCGUUGUUGCCUCGCGGUUGGUUGAAAAUUGAGUCCUUGGUAGGGUGUGCCAUGAUAGAUGGUGGUCGAGUUUGCACGAGACCGAUCAUGUGUGCGCUCCCCAAAAUAUGGACUCUUUGACCCCAGACGCGUCUUUUGACGCUCAUGACGAGACCUCAGGUCAGGCGGGGCUACCCGCUGAGUUUAAGCAUAUCAAUAAGCGGAGGA